AUUGAACGCUGGCGGCAGGCCUAACACAUGCAAGUCGAGGGGUAACAGGGUAGCAAUAUCGCUGACGACCGGCGCACGGGUGAGUAACGCGUAUGCAACCUUCCUUUAACUGGGGGAUAGCCCGGAGAAAUUCGGAUUAAUACCCCAUAGCAUCCCGAAAGCGCAUGCUUUUGGGAUUAAAGCUCCGGCGGUUAAAGAUGGGCAUGCGUGCCAUUAGCUAGUUGGUGAGGUAACUGCUCACCAAGGCUACGAUGGCUAGGGGGUCUGAGAGGAUGAUCCCCCACACUGGUACUGAGACACGGACCAGACUCCUACGGGAGGCAGCAGUGAGGAAUAUUGGGCAAUGGGCGCAAGCCUGACCCAGCCAUGCCGCGUGAAGGAUGAACGCCCUAUGGGUUGUAAACUUCUUUUGUACGGGAAGAAACUCCUGGUCGUGACCGGGAUUGACUGUACCGUGCGAAUAAGCAUCGGCUAACUCCGUGCCAGCCGCCGCCGUAAUAC
rnacentral:rRNA from 1 species